CCUACGGGAGGCAGCAGUGAGGAAUAUUGGUCAAUGGACGAGAGUCUGAACCAGCCAAGUAGCGUGAAGGAUGACUGCCCUAUGGGUUGUAAACUUCUUUUAUAAAGGAAUAAAACGAGGCACGUGUGCCUUUUUGCAUGUACUUUAUGAAUAAGGAUCGGCUAACUCCGUGCCAGCAGCCGCGGUAAUGCGGAGGAUCCGAGCGUUAUCCGGAUUUAUUUGGUUUAAAGGGAGCGUAGAUGGGUUGUUAAGUCAGUUGUGAAAGUUUGCGGCUCAACCGUAAAAUUGCAAUUGAUACUGGCAGUCUUGAGUACAGUUGAGGUAGGCGGAAUUCGUGGUGUAGCGGUGAAAUGCUUAGAUAUCACGAAGAACCCCGAUUGCGAAGGCAGCUUACUAAACUGUGACUGACAUUGAUGCUCGAAAGUGUGGGUAUCAAACAGGAUUAGAUACCCUUGUAGUC
rnacentral:rRNA from 1 species